CCUCUGUGCUACCUAGCUAAGCUUGGCUUCCUGUCCAAUGCUGUUCACUCUGUCUCCAUGGACCCAGCUCAAUUGGAAGAAAAAGCAGAUGAAGGCCUGAAUGUCUUAUGAGUUUUCAGUGACUUCCUCAAACUUCUCACUUAGCCUUCAGUGCCGGCAUUGUCCAGGUCAUAGGAGAAGUUAACAUCUCCGAAAAGUACGGAUACAAGUUAUCUACAAGGUAACACCUGUAGAUAUGAUGCAACAGGCUUAUGCCAUUGGAGAGUGAACAGUCAACCUUCUGAAAACAGUGUACACCACGGAAGGGCAAGAAAAAAAAAUAUAAUAUAGAACAUCUUUCUGACCUUGAGGUCAGGAAGUCCUCUUCGACAAGACACAAAAAAGAAAAAUCACAAAGGAAAAGAAUGACAACUUGACUCCAUCAAAAUUAAAAACAGGUGCACAUCAGAAUAUACCAUAUAUACAAUUAAAAGAUAAGCAAUGAUAUAGAAGAAACUAAUUGCCUCACACAAAGCAAACUUGGACUGCUUUCUAGAAAGUAAAAAAGAAUCCUAAAAUAAUCAAUAUGAAAAAGACAAACAACCAAAUAAAACCAAAUGAAAAAGCAGACAAAGAUUCAAACAGGCAAAUUCACAAAAGAGGGAAUUCAAAUGGUCAAUAAACACAUUAAAAUAUAUUUAAACUGCAGUAACCAGAGAAAUGCAAAUGUAAAACAAGG